CUGACGCUAACGAGCCAGCCUCAUCCAUUUCCUCUCGCCCACAUCGUCUCCCACACAGCACUGCACUUUCCUCUCCCCCACAUCGUCUCCCACACAGCACUGCACUGGCUGGCUCGUUGCCUCUUCCGGCGACUGCCUCCACACAGAACCGUGCCAGCUCGCUACCUCUUCCGGCGACCGCCGCAACGCCGCACCUCGCUCUCUCUCUCCCUCUUCCGGCGACUGCCAAAACGCAGCACCGCGCGCUCGUUGGCUGCCCCUUCCGGCGGCUGCCAAAACGCAGCACCGCCCUCGUUCGCUGCCCCUUCUGGCAACCGGCAAAAAUCGUGCUGAGGUUACCCAACGACUGGAGUUACAAGGUAUGCCACUAAUUUUUGUGCGGGUGACCGUAGUUUCUCCUUUCGGGGGUGGCUUGCUGCUGGUCAGAGUCUGGAGGGGGGACGUGUGUGGAUCAGCGAUUCCGAGCUAAGAGGAGAUGGGGGUGGUGCUGCCAUCCAUCAUGCGUUGAUUCUGUGGCUGAGGAGGAGACACCGCCUGUGGCGUGUUGAUGUGAGUGUCAUUGAUUUGGUCCCAGGCAGGGUAUGCGUGGUCAUUUGCUUUACCAGUUCGAACGAAAUUGAAGUGCCGGUGGUCGCUCCCUUCAUCAAUUCGAGCAGAAUGAAGCUAUGGAUGGUUGGCGUGGAGGAGGAUGCGUGGUUUGUGAUGUAUCGUCGGUUUGGUUGGAGUGUUGAAGUGGGUGGUUGUCAGCUUUGUCGAUUCUGUUUAGAAGGAUGUAUUAGCGUUGUUCCCUUUUGUCAAUUCAAGUUGAAUUGAGGCACGCAAGUGAUUGCCAAUGUGAUGGUUCAAGUAGGUUGGCUGGAUGUUUUGGUGGUUUGGAGAGUAAAGCAAUGGGGUCUAAUCACAGGUGUUGUAGGUCUGAAUGUGCUUGAUUCGAUUUGAGCUUGUUAGCGUCCUAUGCCCCCAUUAAGUUUUCCUACUUUUAUUUGGUUUGAUGCUUGCGUGUUACGUAUGCAAAAAUACUGGUAGAUACUUAUUCGUGGGCAGGUACAUAAUUUCUGUGAAAUAGAUGCUAGUCGACAAGGAGGGUGCUAAAUUUGUUUUCUGGUUGCAACUUGCCGGUGAUAGGUCUGUUCUGCCCCUUGUUGUGGUGAAGUCUUACCAAUUAUAGGUUUGGUUUUAGGAAUUGUGUUACGGGGAGGGUGUUCUCUGGGUUUGGUACUGCAGUGGGUGUAUUUUUUUCGACUGCCCUCAAACUUGAUGCAUGUAUAAAUGGUUACUUGUUUUAUAAGAUGGCAGUUCCAAUUAGAAUGCAUUGGCAUUUGAUGCAUGUAUACAUGGUUACUUGAUGUUUAUUGCACAUCAACUUAUGUUUAAACAACAUGGUAAUUUCGUUUAUUAUGCACCGAUAACUUGGCUCGUAUAGGGAUGACACAUUAAUGUCAAUUUUACAACUUAAUAUUAGAUAAGUUGCAUGUAUCACAUGGCAAUUUCAAUCGCAAUGCAUUGGUAGUUUCGGUCUUUUUAGCAUGCAUGGAAACUUCGAUCUAGAAGGAUUGAUGUCUCAUGGGUAGUUUUAGAAUAGUAUGCUUAAUUGGUAAUUCCAGUCUAUUUGCCAUGCCAACUUUCCAAUGUGUCUCACUGGUAGUUUCAAAAUAGUAAGCAAGGUAAUUCCAAUAUAUUUAGCAUGGCAACUUCAACCUAGAAUGACGAGUGUUAGUUACAUAAUAGUAGGCAUGGUAAUUCCUAUCUAUUUAUCAUGGCAACUUCAACCUAGAAUGGUGAGUGUUAGUUUCAGAAUAGCAUGCUUGGUAAUUCUAGUCUUUUUACCAUGCAUGGCAACUUCAGUCUGAAGGAUGAGUGCCUCAUUGGUAAUUUCAGAAUAGUAGAACCUAUUUAGCAUGUCAACUUCAAUUUCAAAGAUGGAUAUCUCACUGUUAGUUUCAUAAUAGUAUACAUGGUAAUUCUAAUCUAUUUAGCAUGCCAACUUUUCAGUCUAUAAUGAUGAAGUCUCACUAGUAUUUUCAUAAUUGUAGGUCUGAUAAUUCCAAUCCAUUUAUCAUGGUAAAUUCAAUCCAGAUUGAUGAGUGUUAGUUUAAGAAUAGCAUAUGCUUUGUAAUUCCAGUCGUUUUAGUACCAUAGUAUGAUAACUUGAUGAGUGCCUCAUUGGUAACUUCAGAAUAAUAGUCUUGGUAAUUCGAACCUAUUUAGCAUGGAAACUUCAAUCUAGAAGGAUAGAUGUCUCAUUGGUAGUUUCAUGAUAGUAUGCCUGGUAAUUCUAGUCUAUUUAGCAUGCCAACUUUUCAAUCUAUAAUGAUGAGUUUUUCACUAGUAGUUUCAGAAUUUUAGGUCUGGUGAUUCCAAACUAUUUAGCCUGGUAACUUCAAUCUAGAGUGAUGAGUGUUAGUUUACGAAUAGCAUGCCUGGUAAUUCCAGUCGUUUUAGCAUCACAACUUUCAAUCUUGAAGGAUGAGUGCUUCAUUGGUAAUUUCAGAAUAAUAGGCCUAGUAAUUCGAACCUAUUUAGCAUGGCAACUUCAAUCUAGAAGUCUCAGUGGUAGUUUCAUGAUACUAUGCCGGUAAUUCCAGUCAAUUUAGCAUGCCGGCUUUUUAAUCUACAAUGAUGACUUCCUCACUGGUAGUUUCAGAAUUUUAGGCCCGAUGAUUCCAAUCUAUUUAGCUUGGUAACUUCAAUUUAGAAUGACGAGUGUUAGUUUAAGAAUAGUAUGCCUGGUGAUUCCAGUCGUUUUAGAUUCACGACUUCAAUCUUGAAGGAUGAGUGCCUCAUUGGUAAUUUCAGAAUAAUAGGCCUUGUAAUUCGAACCUAUUUAGCAUGGCAACUUCAAUCUAGAAGUCUCAGGGGUAGUUUAAUUAUAGUAUGUCUGGUAAUUCCAGUCUAUUUAGCAUGGUAACUUUUUAAUUUAUAAUGAUGAGUUUCUCACUGGUAGUUUCAGAAUUUUAGGCCUGAUAAUUCCAAUCCAUUUAGCUUGGCAACAUUAAUCUAGAAUGAUGAGUGUUAGUUUAACAAUAGCAUGCCUGGUAAUUUCAGUCGUUUUAGCAUGGCAACUUCAAUCCUGAAGGACGAGUGCCUCAUUGGUAAUUUUCAGAAUAAUAGGCCUGGUAAUUCGAACCUAUUUAACAUGGCAACUUCAAUAUAGAAGAAUAGAUGUCACACUUGUAGUUUCAGACUACUAAGCAUGGUACUUUGACUAUGUUUGGCAUGCCAAAUUCAACCUACAAGAUGCGUUCCACACCAGGUAGUUCACGUCUACAACGACAGUAAUUUUAGAAUUUUUAGCAUGACAACUUUCUUCUAGAAGGAUGAGUUUCAUAAUGGGUAGUUUCAUGGCUAUAGGGAUGGUGAAUUCAGAUUCUUUAUCAUGGUAACUUCAAUCUGGAAGGAUUAGUUUCAUAUUGUUUUGUCUAGCAUCACCGUUUUUUGAAUCUCCAAGUCAGUUAUGAAGUUUAGCACUGUGUCCCUUCCUGUUGUAUAUUGCAAAGUGUCUGCUUAUGUGUGAUCUCGUUUUUUAUUUCUGGUCUAGAAUUUGUGAUGGGAUUUUUGGCUUGAUCGCCCAUGGCUGACACCCUCUUUUCGGGGCAAAUUUUUGGAGAUGGUUUUGAUCAAGGGGGUAACUUGGAUCAGAAGAGGGCUGUUUUGGAUCUGGCCGAUUGAGAUGGAGAAGGUGCAGUUAGCAGGAUUUGGGCGAUCUAAGUUGAAAAAGAAGGCAGCUUGGAUCUGUCGGGACGCUCGAGCCUUCAUCGGCUCUCUUUUUCUCUGAAUCGUUUGGCCGGCCUAUCUCGCACAUGAGCCAGCUGGGCCCAACGUUUUGAUUGCUUUGCGUCAAACUGCAAGCUGGAGGACGGUCGCACACUGGGCUUUUUAGCGCGUACGGUCGCGCUUGCACCGAUCGAUUGGUGACCAAAUCACGCGUAUGGUCGGGCGUUAUUGGCGUAUCACUCAUUAUAUCUAUACCAUUGAACUUUUACUGAACAGUCAUUGAAAUUUUGGUAGACCACUCAUGUCAAUGAUAUAAAAAUAAAAAUAACGAUACAUUAAUUAUCUGAUAUUUUUAAAUGAAAACAAAUAUAAUUGAUAUUCUAAAUGGGGCGGACUGCAGGUUGACUCUAAGGAAACUGAAGGGUGAAAAUGAAAAAUGCCCACUUGCUGAGAUUUCCUUAGAUCUGGACCACAGAUUGAGAAUCUUGUGGCUCACAGUUAGCUAGUGCAUGAGUACACCUGAAGGCCCUAGUGCAUAGCAUACGCUCCCGCCAAUGCCUUGGUGGUUGGGUGACAAACGUGAGUGGUGAAUACAAGUUGGAGCACGAUCAGCUUUUUCGUUUGGUUGAGGAGCUCAAUACGCUGGUGGAGUGUUUCAUUUCGAGUCAUCACCUUCCUCCCCUAUAAGGAGGACGCUUCUUAGAAUUAGCAAUAUGGCCAAUCUGUUGAUGGGCUAUCUUAUCUAGGAAAUCCGCUGAACCACCCCAGCACAACUUCAUUCUGGUGGAAAGACAACCUGAAACUUUUGUUGCAAUACAAAAAUUUGGCUAAAUGCACUAUCUUAUCUGGGAAAUCGGCCAGCUUCUGGAGAGACAGAUGGGCUAACAAUAUUCUUAGUGAUCAGUGGCCCUGGUUGUUUUCAUUUGCUAAGGACAAAAACAUUUCUGUCCUUAUUUGCCAGGACAUGAUCACCCUUUUUGCCCUUCCCCUAUCAACUUAUGCAUAUGAUCAAUAUAACCAGCUGAAUGGUUUAUUGGAGCAACUCCAGGUCCGACAUCAGCAAGAUUGUUGGUCACUCAUGGGUGCCCUCAAUGGUUUCAGCACAGCCAAAGCAUAUGAAUUGCUUAUUGACCACAUUAAUGACAUACCCGCCACACUUACGUGGAUCUGGAAUUCUUUCGGCCAACUCAAACACAAGUUCUUUGCAUGGCUAAUGAUCAUUAACAGGCUCAACACCAAAGCAAUGUUGCAUCAAAAGAACUUUCACCUGCCUGGGUACACUUGUUUCCUUUGAAUGGAUUGUAGAUGGAGACCAGGGACCAUCUCUUCUUUCAGUGGCCAUUUUCUGUGGCAUGUUGGAGAUAUAUUUGCCCAGGAUUCGCUCCACGACACAAUGUGCAUCAUAACAUCAUGGAUUUGAAGGAUCCUCUUGGUUUUCAUUUCAUAUGGAAAUCAUUACACUUGCUUGUUGAAGCAUUUGGAGAAUUCGCAAUGACAAUAUCUUCAAUAACAUCAAGCCUUCACUAUAUCGAUGCCGGCACAUCUUCAAAGGUGAGCUUAAUCUUGUUUUCCAUAGAGCCAAAAGAAAGGAAUACUCCAAUUUUAAAAGCUGGAUAGAUAGGUUCAGAUAGAUACCUGUUGUUUGCCUGAUAAUUCUUGAUUAUCAGCAUUGUGCAUUACCCUUUUUAUAUAAUAUAAUCGCAGUGGGUCAUCAAUCCACUGUUUUCCCUCAAAAAAAUAUGGACAAUCUGUUUGAUGAACAUCGGCUUCAAGAUCUUUACUAAAGUUUGGACAAAUCGGAUCAAUUCUGUCAUGAGUAUGGUAAUUUUGAUCUAAACAAUGUUUAUGUGGGAUCGUCAUCACAUCCUGCAGGGGGUGGCGGUGCUUGUGAGACCAUCCACAAGCUAAGACGUAAAUAUUUUAUGGUAAAAAGACUCGCUUCCAGAACUACAUGGAGGAAGAGCUCACCCUUGGAGGAGGGAGGAUUGGACGGUGGCGGCCAUGGAGCCACCCGAUUGCAUACUAGGAUAGAAAGGAGGUGAGUUUCUUAGAGAAGGGUGCAAUGGUCCUGGACUUGAUGGUGACACGGUGGAUAUAUUUGCUAGAUGGCAACACGCAGGGAUGAAGAGCCAAGGCAUAGCCCUAGUUUUGGCGCUAACCAGGUAAAAUCAAUUGGUACCGGCUGCUCACGAUCAGAGUGGGAGGAGCGGGCUAUGCAGAGCCUUGGAACCGAGUUUUUCAGGGGUUUGCUGAGUCUUUGCAGGGUCUUGGAAAGCCCAUCAGGCCCCAUGCGAGACCAGUGCAGUAGUCAAAGGCGCGUUACCGGGGAUUAUACCUGGGCAAACCCCGGGCCGGGCGGGUUUCGGGCCGGGCUUCAUAAAACCUGACGGUCAAACCUCAAACCCGAGCCCGGCCCGAAACCCAGAAAAUAGGCCAUUUAAGCAUUAAAAUAAUUAAUUUUGGAAUAAAGAAAUGUAUUUUUAUACCUAUUUUUCCUAAAAAAAAUACUCAAUUUAAGCCAUUUCGGGCUGUUUUUGGGCUUCCGGGCCAGGCUUUGGGCGGAAAAGUGAAGCCCGGGCCCAGCCCGGUACCUCGGGCUUCGAGCCGGCCCACCCAUGCCCAGGUAUACCUAGGAUGAUGUGGCGAUGGGUCAUAGGUCGAGAGCUUGAGCAGUAGUCGAAGCGCUAAGAGUGCGGUAAUAAGAGUGCGGGAAGCUCUACAAGUUUAGUUUCGUAGGUAUACAACCGCAGAUAUGUGUCCAUCUUUCAACGUGGAACAUGUUAUCGAUUACAUAGGGACAAUUUUGACGAUUAUAUUACAGCCAUGAUUACACAUACCUUAGCAAUCGCUAAAACCUUUACAACCACCUUGUUUCUCUUUUUCAUGGUUCUUGUUAUUCAAACAUACCUGAGUAUUCCAUAAAACAUCGAGAGCUUUUUAAAUAUAAGGAAAAUAUAUCUAACAUUUGAGGCCUGCAAUAUAUAACUUUAACAAGUUAACAAUAGUAUAUACCAAUAUAUAGCCCUUGCAGUGACAUAUAUUUAUCUUUGCCAUCUGAUCAGUCUUACGAAAUUAUGAAGGUUUUUUAUUUAUUUAUUUAUGAAUUGACCACGUGUAUAUACAGAUUGUUUUUUCAGGCAAUCACCGGGAAGGAGAGCAUCCCCAUCUGACUAUAUUACAAGGGAGGAUAGAUAAUCUCGUCGAUCAUAAGCCGCCGGCUAACCUAUGAUCCGGGUGUUUUGAACUUGAUAUAGAAGAAAGUAAGUUCAUCAACCACAGUCGAAAUAACAAGUAACAGGUAGAGUUUCACUGCGGAAAACCUUGGCUUUUCGGCAGAUCCAAAUUCUCCAUGGUACGAGGGGAUGAAUCGACGGCCAUAUGGAGCUGAGCAGUCCACGCAGAAUACGUAGUGCCCAGGUGCAUUGGAACAAAUUUAAAGUUCAUUGUAUAUGUCUGGCCAGCGGAAGCUGAAUGCCGUAGGCACAACUGGUAUACGUACGUCUCACCAACGUUUAUCUAGUGACCAAUCUCACAAGAUAAGGUUCAUCUAGUGAACCCCGGAUUAAUUAAAUUAGUCAUAAUUAUCAAUGUUGUCCUAUGCAAGCAGCCACGUAUAAUUUGUCCUAACUCAAUAUUUUCGGGUUAUAUGCACAUGCAUGUUGUCGUAAUUGUAUCAUUCACAUGAAUCACAUGGACCCACCUGGA
rnacentral:lncRNA from 1 species